CAAGGCGCAGCAGUGGAGGAGGAGCACCGGAGCAAGAUUACGACCUGCGUACGACCUCGUCAGCUCGGACUGGAUGGAGGACAUGGCUCGAGCAUGCCAUUGCAGAUAUAUUGCCGUUGAACUAGCUUCUAUCUGGAAUGGGACAAAUCUGAAGUAGAUUUUGCUAUAGAAAACAAAAUCUCUAAGGUGGGAUCGGGAUAGCGCUAGAGAAAUGAUGUACAUGGUGGCUGAGAGGGAGGGGUCAAAAGAAUACAUCCACAUUUCUAACUACGUGGUGCACACAUAAUAGUAUGAGGGAAUGGCAUGUGUCAUCUAUAACACGUGCGCGCUCUUUGUUCGAACGUUCAACUGGGAGCAAUUUCAUCUGAUUUGGCAACGAGCAUUGCAGCAAUACAUGCUACGUCUUAGAAACUACUAAAAAAUGAAUAUAUCUGUGCAUUCUACCCUGCCUAGAGUUUUGCUUAUUUUGGCCCUUCCGUCCAUUGAAUUCAGAAAGACUUUCAAAACUCGACCAGUUUCAGAA